ensembl:lncRNA
UGCAGCCUUUCACUGUACACCCACUCCACUUGAAGUUUUCAUUUCUGAUAAUAUUUACAUUACCCACUCACUCUGCACAUGCACCGCAACCCCUUAUAGUUGGUCUCCCCAUUAACCGUGCUGAUGCACUUUGUGUGAAAAAAUAAAAAAAAUGAAAAUAAAAAAAAGCUAUUUGCAAAGCAAUUUCACUCCCUUAUAUCUCAAUUUUUUUCCUUUCCUCCGCCCUUGAAAUCUGUGGAUGUGAAAUUGUCUGCGGGAAAUUGCCAAGUGGAAAAAUACAAGCAAAACACCAUGUCACAGAUGAGGCGGUGAAAGUGAACCAGCUGCUGCUGGGGAAGGGCGUCGUCUUUCUCACCCUCGCGCAGUUCUUCCCUGAUAUUUAACAGGAACCUGUUUGUGGCGGCGAGAAGCGGCUCCAUGAGCGGGUUCAAAGCGGAAAUUUGAAGGACAAGUUCUGUAUCAAAAGCUCUUCGUCCCUCGCAGGCAUUCAGAGUAAGGGACAGGAAUUAGUCCCACUAAAGUUUUGCUGCACGGAGACACGGUGACUGAGACAUGAAGCCCCAAAAAUAUUAAAAUGUGUUUUUCAUUGAACAAAUAUUUAAACUGCAUCGUCCAAGACAAUAUGCUGACCGGAUAAGCAUGGGAAUACAUCAUUUCCACUGUAGCCGCCUUUAACAGUGUAUUACUGUGAUAUCUGAAGGUGGUGCAAAGAAACCCGUUUGAAAGAGGCUUUUAGUUUAAAGGGAUGACGAUCAAAGCCACAGCGACUAUAAUGAGAAAAUGUACUUCACUGCAAGUGCACCUAAUCAAAACUUCUGCAGUGCGCGUUGCCUCAUCCUUAAAUAAAUUGCAACGAAUGAGUCACUGCCACUUAGCGGUUGACAUGGAUUGUCUCUGAGCUUGACUGGCCUGACUCCCACGCCAUGUUUGGCCGGCAGCUUCUAUUACUUUCACUUGUAAUGAUGUCAUCAGAGAAAUAGAUGUUAUUUCCUCUCAGCUUGUAUUACUGCCCUGACGGGUGCCGUAAGACUUCAUCUGACAGCAACCCUCUCCAAUCAAAGUCAGCGCAACGAACGCCGCUUCGGCGUGCCUUCCUAACGACUCGCCUUAUUUCACUGCUCGUGUGUGAGUGCAGAUUGAGACGUUCCCAAAAAGGGUUCAGGCGACAGAGAAGCUAUUUAGAAACAAUUAUUACAGAAUCACAAAACAUAUGGUGAAACUCAAGUGCAUCAAUAUAUUCAUGAACCUGUGAGGACUCGGAAGCUUCUGCUGCCACCCAUCCCUUCAUAUUGAAUAUUAUACAUACAACCGUAGACUGCGACCGGUCCCGUGACCACCUGCAUGCAACAUCCGUAGCAAUGGAUUUAUCCUCUGUUGCAAUGAGGCCGCUUCUGUAUACAGUUACCAAAGAGAAGAGGGCAGGAAAUGGCUGUGAAAGGGUCCCCCAUUAAAACAAUAAAUCAUUAAUCUCAUGCUUGUUUGAGUGCUGGUUUACAGUCCUCUCAGGGGCUACUGUGUGUCCGUUUCACUAAAUAAAUAUAUAUUGUACUUGUGUUGGCAAUAUGGCAAUAUGGCCCCACUCAAGGGCACCGCUGGAGUUCGGUCAUAAAACUCAGUGCUGCUGUAAGUAUGUGUGUGUGUGUGUGUGUGUGUGUGUGUGUGUGUGUGCUGAUGUACGGUACACUGGACUCGUAAACAACAAGCCAACAUGGGACCAGACAGGACACCAAUCAAAUCAAUGCAGGUCCAACAUGCAUUGCCCCUGUGUGUGUGUGUGUGUGUGUGUGUGUGCACGAUUGUGUAGGCGAGCCAGAUCACUGGAUCAAUGCACAGGGGAGGGAGGCUGACAGAAUAAUGACCUGUCCUCUCUUUUCAACAGCCUUUCUCUCUAGCCGUUUUCUCUACCCCCCCCAGGUGUUCCUCUCAUGUACACUUCACGUUCUUCAUUCAUCCCUCGCUUAUUCAUCUUCCUCUUCACACUGGUCCAGGAAUAGCUCCUCUCUGUUGCCUUUAAUCUCAUAUAUUUUCCCCUUCAUUCCCUCCUUUCUUCGUCCAUCCGAUGAGAUCUUCCAUUUCUGCUUUUGUUGCCGAUCGCCUUUCUUUUUCCCUUUUUAUAUAAUUCCUCUUUUAAGCGACCCCCUCUUUCCCACUCCCAGCCCCAAUAACUCAAACCGUCCUUUCUUUGAUGCAUCAUUCAUGGUUUUGUUCCCUAAUGCACUCUCUAUCUCUUUCACAGCCACACUAUCAAAUCUUCAUCAUCUGCUUUUAUCUCGUGUUCGUGCUUUUUACCCUGCCCCCCCCCCGUACUGUCUCGUCUUGCGUCCUCUCGCUGUGGCCGCUGCUUCUUGGCCCUUUCUAUUUCGAUCUCUCUGCAGCAGAGCUCUGUGUCUCACUUCAUCCCUGCUCCUUCAACCCUUCUCUUUAAUGCGCCUUCCUACCCGUGUCCCUCUCGUUCCCUUCUCCAUCACUUUGACUUUUCUCUUCCAUUUCUUCCUUCCCUCCAGCCCCCCUCCCCCCCUCCCCUUCCCAUCAUUUCUCUCAUUCCCCGAGGUGUGUGACUGAGUGCUGAAAGCCCCAGGUCCCAGUAAUGGGAUAAUCCUUUACAUCAGAGCAGUGGCAUCAGUCAGGGCUAACAUGUCACUCUUUAAAAGUCAACCUCAUCACUGAAAUAGCCCCCCAAUCUCUGCAUCGCACUUCUUUUCACGGCAAACGUGCACACACGUGCGCUGCGUUCUGACGGGGCGUCCGGUUGCGAAGGCCCAGCCUCCGGACCGUUUUACCCAUUAUCGACCUCUAUCACGUUGCAUUUACCUGGAGAUAAACACUUGGCCGGGAGGAUGUUUAUCUUUCCUACGUGAAAGCAUGUAUGUUGGCAUGAUGUAUACGCCGCGCACGGUAGAUAGCCAGCCUGGGGAUAUUAAGCUGGUGUCGCAAAACACUCUUUAAGUGCAGGGUAAAUGUGUUUGUGAUACAAUCAUAUUAUUUCCCUGCUUUCCACCUCCAAUGUCAAUGUGAAGUUUGGAACAAAAUGCACGUAUGUGGACACAAACGCAGACCCACACAGGACUAAAUUCACGCCACAGGUAGAACAUCUGCGCUCUGGAGUGGGAGGAUAGUGUGGGGAGUGUUGCUGUGGUCGUCCGUGUUCACCUGCUCCCAGAAAUAGCUUGAGAUACACAAUCACUCUGCGACACCUGUUUUGGGCCUUACGUAACCGCAAGUGGAGACCGCAGAGAAACAAGUGGGGGGGAGAAGAGUAGUAAUGGAUGGUGGAAGUCAGGAAGAGCCUUUAUAUAUGUGUGUGUCUGUGUGUGAGUGUGAGUGCGUGUGUGAUGGUUUGUUUCUGCAUGAACUAAAUCAAAAGAGAUGCGAGGGCUCCAUAUCGAGUAGAUAUAUUCACUCUUCCUACCAUCAACAUUUCUAACCAUAUAGUUUGUACUAUUAGUGGUGUGGCCUGAAUUUGUUUAUGCUUGUUUCAACGCUUUGGUUAGUGCCCCAAACACAAAGAUAGUAAUAAACAGAUUGCUGGCAAAGCAGCUUUGGGUUCUGAUAGAACACCAAAAAUGACAAGAGAUGACUACUGGUUUAAAGUUGAAGACAUACUAGGAUCAUGGUAACAAGAGGAACUACUAGGCUGUGCCUGGGAAACAAUCGUGGUCAUGAUUAAAACGCUGACUGUUGAUGGAGGAAAAGGAUCCACUUUGUACAACCAACAACCGUUCGGACCUCUUCUCAAACAGGCCUUGUGGUGCUCUAAUAAUGCCUUGCUACUUCCCGAAGGAAACAAUCAGCAUUGGGAUGACCGGAUGAGGUCAAUUGUCAGGGAAAUGUAAGCAUGAGUCAUUUAUGUGCUGGAAUGGGCAACAAAUGAGUCACUGAGUGAUAUCUCUUUUAUAAUCGUCACACAAUUUCAGCAGUAUAGUUUACGGUUUCCAGAAGGUCUCCAGCAUCAAAUCAUCAUCCAACUACGAGUGUCUUUGUAAAUGUACAAACGCGUGUGGUUAUAUUGUGACACUUUGACACUUUGAUCGACAAAGACACAGAGGCGUCAUGCCUGUGAACCCGUCAAUGUGCAACAUGCAAGAAACAGGCAAUGCCGCCAUUGAUGUGGCCGCUUAUCCCGCAACGCGAUGAAUGGAUGCAGCACCCACAAGGCCCUGACGGGAGGCUGUGUCUGUGCUGUGUGUGCAGGGGGCUCGUUUGCUGAUGUGCGCUGAAGGAGAGUGUCGACAAUCUGGCAUGUGGCAUUUAUGUGUGUGUAUGAAAACAGGCAAAUGUGGGGUACGUUGUGUUUGUUUUCACACGUCCCAAUGCAAAUUACACCAAUCCGAAGGACAAAUAAUUUGUUUUUCUUACUCAUUUAUAUCUAUUUAUAAGCAUCAGGAUGCUUUGAUGCUACUUCUCAAAGAAGUGUUUUAUAUGCCGCUGGCACUUUGCCUGUCGUCCAUAACGUGACGCAAAGGGGCGUCAACAGUCGUCCAUACUCCAUCACAGACGGCGUGCUGUAUAAUGUUGUUCCAGCACCCAGCGAGCAUCAUUUGGGGAGAACAUGAUAGACUGGAUGUUGGUUGCGAUUUAGUGUUCUAUGUAAGGAGGCAUGGCAGCAGGGAGGAAGUAGAUGCUAACUCGAUCCAACCUCCUAAACUACCAUGUGGCCUUAAAUCCAGCAAAGUUGACUCGUUCAAAGCAAACACACACACACACACACACACCGGUGCCAGUGUGACUAGUUGGUUUUCAAUGCUUUGAGGAUGGGGGUUCUCAAGCAUGUCGGGGGGCAACAGAUAUAUGAGGCUGUAAUGAAAACUUACAGCGCGGGCUUCAAGGCUGGCGUCAGCUGAACGGAGCUUUAUGAUGAUGACUGACUGGAAGUCAUAAUUUCCCACCACUUUACUCCUUCCAGGUUGGGGAUAAUGCUGGGGAUUAAGGUGCAGCAGGUGGAAGGGGAGGUUUUGUUAAGGAAUCGUGUGUCAUGAAAUCUUCGCACAAGGAACUCCACAGCUGACAAUUAAGUCUUAUUUGUGAUAAGCACAUUAUUAUGAAUCUUUCAGCAGAUUAACAGUACAAAGCAGGUUAAGAAUUCUUUCUUCACAACUUUGUUACAGCAAUCCAAUGGAUGACAAAAGCAUUUUAAAUGAUGGGAUCACAUUCACCUUCUACUACCUUUACACUGUAGCAGUCAAUAAAAAGCAUGAAGAUAACAUGGAUCAGAACUCAAAACUAAGGGACAACACAAAAGGAUUAUUAGGCCUGAUAAUACAACUUCUUUGUGAGCAACAAAUCAGUGUUGAAGGAGCUGGUUAAUGUUAGCUGUGUUUUUCAGACAAGCAGGCUAACAUACAGGGGAUGAUUGAGUUGGAUUACUAAGCUGUAUUCAGAAAAGAUUAGUAGUGUGCAAGGUUAAUUCCAAUAUUAUUAUUGGGCAAGAAACCUGAGUAGAAUAAUAAGGGAAAAAUGACCAAUCAGCAGAAAAUGAAAUAAAAUAUAUCCUAAUGGAGUUCAUGUUGAAGUAAAUCGGAUUUAUUGUUAUGUAUUUGUUUUUGACAGUGAUAUUUAAUUGGGUACCACCUUGCUUUCUGGCUGAAUCCCACUACAACUGAUGUUGGACGUAUCCCAACGUGCACUGUAAUUUAACUGCAUUCAUUUAACAGAACUAUGCUUAAUGCUACACAUGGGAGUUUGAAUCGGCAUCCGUAAAUCUGAAGUGCUAUGCUUUUAUGUCGAGUAUUUUAUUUUUAUAAACAGUAAAAUAUAAGCCUCAUGUAAAGGCGCUGAUGAGUAGUGUCAAAGUCCUAGCAAACACUAAUUGUAAAUAGGCUAAAGUUACGCAUACAAACAGGCUGACAGACGGGGUGACGGGUAGGCUAAUCGCUGACGACUCCGUCACACAGAGGAUAGAGUCAGGGUCCUGUUGGAUAUCUCCACCCAUCCCCACUAUAACAUGAUAGCGUUAUCACUGACCUUCACAUGCAGAACCCACGGGAAUCAUUUUACUCUAAUGCAUAAAACCACAAUGUUUAACUUGUCCUCUCCUCAGCUCUGACUCUAAAUCCCCGUCGGUGAUGACUGACCUUGAAGUCUGGCUUCGACGAGAGUAAAUGUAAUUAUAACUGCUGGACAGAAUAGACUAGUGAGCUAGAGAGGGCACUUGGCAGAUCAGAUUAUUCCCUAAAACACAGUAACCCUCAUACUGCAGUGACAGCUACAGCGAAAUAUGCCCGAGGCGAGUAAACCUGCAUGUGUGUGUCCUUGCGUGUUUACAUGUGGGCAAACGUUGGGAGCUACUCACCAGAAGUCUGCAGUCCAACACAAUGUGCUGGAACAACAAUGAAGACUCUCUCUUCCACUAAACAUCCCCCCUCCCCAUGGAUCUUUUAUGUCCUUGCAUCAUGCAUACAGAGAGAUGGAUGGACGACCCAGCGGCUGAGCCCGCUCGAGUCACACAUGGCAAUAACAUCUUCUGCAGAAUCCUUUCCCUCCAGCCUUAGCAACAGUAGGCGAACCCAUGAGCAGAAAGGAAUCCACCCCCCACCCCACCCUGCGGACUUGCUUAGCUCUCCUUAGCCCUGCAGGCAUUAUGUCCCUUUGAAUCUUCACUGUCCUUGCCUCUUUUUUAUUUGCACAAGGCCACAAGGGAUCAUUCUAGCGCUAUCGUUUUUUUGUAUUACUUUUGUGGGAGCUCUCCUUACAGAAAGAACAGAAGUGUCCCUUGUCAAGGUUACAAGGAUUAUCAAACACUACAAACAUGCGAAAUGGCGUCACCACCAAAAACGCACCUAUCUGUUGGCUUGAGGUGGGCGCCCUGGGUUACGGCUGCACAAUAAAUCCCAUUUUAAUGGCUAUCACGAUUUUGGCUGCCACAGUUACACAAGCAUAAUCGUCAGCAAUAUUGACUUUUAAAAUGAGUGCUCUGCUACAUAUUAAAUCAAGUGCUUCCUCAACUAACUAAGGAUCAUCAUCCGUUGUCUGGACGUUUUGUGGAUUUUGGGCAAGGACCAAGCAUACAGUAUGCACAAAGUGAGCAGAGUGCGUUAGAGUUGUGUCUGCGCCGCAGAGCAACACAACUAGCUUGUUAAACCACCGUAAAAAAAAAACCCACCACAACCCACAGUACGGCGAAUGCAUCAAGACCCAAGCUAUCGUUACCCCACUGAAUCUCCGUCAGCGUCCAAUGACGUCAACAGAGAAAAGCAGAAAAGCAAACCAGGAGUGUGACCCCGCACAGCACCACAGCGUGUCCAUCCACCUCCCAAAGACACACUGAAAUAACGGCUUUCAUUUGGCCGAAGACAUUCCCCCCGUCCCCCGACAGAGGCCCUUGUGGAGCCCCCACUACCGUAGUGCAGCAGAGAAACUGCUGACUGGCCUCCCUCCUAAUCGGUACCCGCCAACGGUGUUGAGGCAACACGGCCGAGAAGCGAACCCAGCUCUGCGCAGUGAUGGUGGGUAAGUGUUUUUCCUCUCUGCCACACUGGCGCCAACCCUGGUAAGUUAUAUUGUGACAAAGCUCUCAUCGCUACGCUCUUAAAAGGAAAAUAUUUGUCUCCUGUGUGCAUUCCCCUCGGCAGUUUGCCAAAGCAUUCUAUAUUUGAAGGACUUCCAGACCCGAAGGUUCUGGCCAAGCUAAUAUUUCAAUCCCUCACUCUGGAGACCUGAAGAUAUGAGUGAAUCACUGAGGCAAGCCUUCAGUCAGGCCGCCUGGAACAAGGGGGUUAAAUAGAACGGAGGGAGUUUAUUCACACAUUUCACAAGGGGGAAAUAUGGCGGAAAUUGUGAAGGGGCUACAAGCAAUGUAAACCGGAACAAGACAAAAGAGGCAGGAACAACGAGGAGGGGGUUGUAAUGAAGUCUGAGAGCCUCCUAAUUGGGCAAAGUCUUUGAGCGGGCAGCCAACAAGCAGCUCUGGACAGGUCAGACCGAGAGCAAAAGAGAGAGACGGAAGGAAGGGGGAAACAUUUAAAGACACAAGGGGGGCGCCAUGAAAAGGUUGAGCAAUGUGAAUCUAAUGAAUUGAGGGGUUGUAAGAGAGCAGCCUUGACCGCCAACUCCCUGCUCCCUACUUGCCUUAAUUCCUCCUUUUACGCUCUCCAGCUUUUGCUGCAAAUCUAUGAUCAGCUUAAUGGGCUGAAAUUUGGAGCAAAAAAUCAGUUUGGCCACAGAUGAUGACACCGCGGAUGCCUGGGCGGGCUCAGGGACCGGGGAGGAACAGCGUGGCCAAUGAGGUGAAGGGGUGUGAGAGAAGGAGUGCUCUACGAGGACAUCUUCGGAGGACUAAUUUAUGAGCAUCUUGAUCAAUGUGUUAAUUAAGUGGAGAGUGGGGAAAUGGAGAGGCCAGUGGCUGGCCAGAGCCACCGGUGGCAACGAAGAAAAGGGGGGAUGGAUGGGCGCAAAUGGGGGAAGGUUAGGGGACGGAAUUUGGCAGGAUGUGGAGGCAAGUGUGGGGGGGGUCGAUUCCCCUGUGUGCUUAACUAAAUGGGCCAAUUCAAUACCAUUUGUAGUUUUGUUGAUCAGCUCACCCACUAGAAUUUCGUUGCACCUCCUCACAUUUGUCUGAGCGGUGCAACAUGUCGAGAAAGCGAUUCCAAUUCUGGUCUUUUAGGGACCUUCGGUAAUACAACUCAGAUAUUCGAUUCUCAAAAGCUAGAAUAUACGCUCAGCCCGCGUUCAUCCAGCGUACUUACAAAAUACGCUUGCAGCUGCCCUGGCUUCCAGAAUGUAAAGCACAUUCUCCAGUGAGAGGACCGGAGCUCAUCCUUUGAAAUGUGUUUAUUCCCCCACAAAAGCAGAGGGGGGAGAGGGAGAGAGAGAGAAGCAGCGAAAGAAACAGGGCCAGAAAAAUCCUGCUGACUUGCAGCCUUCAAAAAUCGCCGCCCACUUCUCCUAUUCCCCUUCUUUAUUUCCAAGUCCCUGGAGUUAAAGCCCAAACGGAAAGAAAUUGUUUCAUGUGGGCACCGGGGGAGCUCCGGUUGCUUUCUUCCCAUGGUUUUAUCUUUGCAGAAAACAACCCCACCCGACCACAUCCCGCCAUCCGACCGUGAGACACGUUAACACGUAUCCCGGCCACUCAUUAGCAGUUAGCACUGGCAGGUGACCAAGCUCCCACUCUGGGCUGAUUUGGAGGCGUUCUUCCUCCUUCCCUCCUUUUACAGUCCACCUAUACAUUACGGCCCCUUUUAAAUGUGUAACGCACGCUUCUUUUCCGCAUCUUCUAUAUUCCCCUUGUGAUCACUCUGGGCUGCUAAAAUCUUACAGGAAAUAGCCCCAAAAGCCCUCUUUCUUACUCCUUCUGUACAUUUCAGAGAGGAGGGACAUGUGAAGGGCACUGCGAGGGGAAGAUGAGUCAUUUUCACCAAGAUACUGUAGCCUGAGGCUGGCAGAUAAGUGCACUCAAUAAAGCCGGGCACGAGUUAGACCACUGACAUUUAUGUCCCCGGUGCCGUGAGCUGCUACCUGUGCAAGUGUAGUCCACGGAAAAAAAGGCUGUGCGUCCAGGGUGUUUGUCCCAGGAGUGAUCCACACAGAUUGGAGUUUAGCCCCACUCUCCUACUACUAUUUGUCAGCAGAAGAAUUGCUUCAGCCUUGAGAGACAGUGCGAAGAGCCACGGAUGAAUGAUUCAACCAACGCGCAUUGUUUCUCAUGAAGGAUGGAGGACACACAUGUCGCAUCCUUAAAUAUUGAGAGAAUAACAAAAAGGAAAGUGCCUUUAGUUAAAGAAAAGCCAAGGAGACAGGAGUACCGUGUUUCUUUUUUAAGACAUUUGCUGUGUAUGUAACCAAAGGCGAGAGCUCUCGCUGUUGUGUGCGCGUGUCUGUGUGGACACGCGUGUGUCCCUGAUCAUCCAGAAGCUUCCUGUUUUCUUUGCUGAUUGGGACAAUAACUGCGACGAUCAUUGCCUACUUGGCAUCAGCCAGCGCAAAAGUGUAACACUGCCAUUCUGGUGCUCAUUCAUCACUGUCACGCCUCUGCCUUUGUACCUAACCGGCUCACACACACACACACACACACACACACACACACACACACACACACACACACACACACACACACACACAUGCACACAACUAAAACCAGGAACUAGGAAUGGACUGUCAGGAAAGAGACAUCCUAAUUCACUACGUGGGCCUAUUCUUUUCAUUAGCGUCUGCCAAAACCCCGGCAGCCCCUACAAUGCAUCAACUGGAGCGGGUGUUGCUCAACACAUCAGCGCCUUCGCGACAAACGUCGCGGCGGCAGAGGAGGCGGGGGGCUAUGUUGCUGACCGCGCUACGUCUUCCACCCACCGCCACUUAUGCAACGGUCGGACAUCAAGUUCCGGGGGACUGCGUCGCCGGUCGGCCGCGAACUACGCCCCCGCGGCGGCUCAUUUCGUUGUACUGAAGCAGCGACACACGCGCAAGCAGCGGCGCUAGUGUGUGUUUUAUAACAAUCCUCGUCAUUAUGCUGUGCAGACGCGGUGAUAACACUUCAGCUCGUUGGCCGACGCUGCUGCAGCCUGCUUUCGCCAGCGUUGCCAUUCAGCGGGUUUUUCUCCAGCCAGUUGUUAGGGCUUCCGCUGACAGCUCAUACUAAUAUGUGUGCUGGUGUGUCAGCCAAUACUAAUGUGUGCGCAACGGCGGGGAAGAGGUUGCAUUCAGCAGAUGUUGAGAGAGCAAAACAGAGACGGUGGUGUUGUGAUGUUGUGGCAUUCUUCUCUCUCUCUCUGGUGUACAUUGUGCUCCUUCACAGCUCGCUUUUCUCAAACGGCCUCCUGUUGCCUCUCCAGGUUUUGACCUCCGCUUGUGACACACUUGACUUUCAGAGCACAUCGUGUCCUCCUCCUCUCUCUGUUUGUGUCCGGGGUAAGAGGGCAGGUACAUAGCAGCCAGCGUCCCUGACUGCCUGCCUGCAUCCGCUUGCGAUGCUGAUGGGUUUGCUGUGGAGCCCCCACAGGAGGGGGGGCGGGGGGGGAUGUGGCCACUCCUGACCUUGAGAUGCUGUCAAUACCAUAACUCACUCCACUUCCCUGAGUCUCAUCGAUGGCCGGAUGUAACCAGUGGCACGUGCUUCCAGAGCAAAGAUGACCCGCACAAGACUGAAUAACAAGAAGGGAUUGGGACACACACACACACACACACACACACACACACACCAAUAAAAAAAAGGAUAUUCUAUAAACACUAAUCGCCAAAUGUUGAUAUAAAAUUCCUGUAUUAAAUCUCAGGAUAUAAAAGGGAUUGCAAAGGGGUAUUGAGGACAAAAACAAAGCACACAGGUACCGUUCCCAUGGUUGCGCCUGAGAAAUACAGCGAGGGGGGGGGGGCUCUCAGGUUGCCAGAGGGAUCAGCUGCUCUGCUCGGAGCAACACGGAUUCUGACCGUCAGUCAAUCUGAUUGGCUGGGAAGCAGGAUGUAUUUAAUCCCGGCUGAUGCUGACUCCAGUGCCGUUGAUUCCAUCAAAUCUGUAUCGUACUUUCUAUGCAGGACCCGACCCAACAGCGCGCAGGCUUGAGAUUUUCUAUUGUGUGAGGGAAUGUGAAGCUGUGACCAACCACCUGCACCGCAGGUCUGAUCUUGGCCUUUAUCUCUUUGAAGAAAAGAGGAGUUCAUGUUCAUUGAUCUUGGCCGGUGGUCGGCCGGUGGUCGGCCUGGUUCCAGCGGGACGUGGGGAGGAGUGGCAACUCGAAGGUUGCCACCGCUGUUGGCUCGUGACUCAAGAAGUAACCUUUUCCUUUUUCUUUUAGAUAAAAAUGUAUCAGGGAGCGUUCGACCUUGAUCCAACCUUGAUGAGCCCGCAGGGGCCAGCAGGUUGACUUCAGCCAUGUGGGUUUGAAGGCAAACGGGAGGAGAACAGUCGGAGAGUCCGUGUGGGAAAGACAUGAGACGUGACACACAAACGAAAGAGCGGAACAUUUUCUCAUAGUAAGAAGAAGGAAGAUAACCAAAGCUCAGAGGAGUAAUGGUUUCAACCCCUUGUCUCCAUCUGCACCCCAGAGAGCAGGGAUCUCAUUCACCAGGCUGAUACAAAGCAGAGGGAGAUGAGCCACGGUGGGUGGGGGUGGGGGGGGGGGGCUGUGGGAGACCGGUACUCUGAGAGAAGUGCCGAUAUAUAUCAUUUCAUCUCUUGCUUUUACUCGUUCAGUCAUUUCCAGGAUUGAAGGGCCUAUGCAAAAGUUACUGCACAGUAUUAACUUUUGCCUUCUUUCCUCGCGGCAAAAUAAUUGGAGUAAAUAAGAUAUGCCUAUCCGUCUGCUUAGGUUUGCUUAUUUUUCAUUGGAAUAAAACAUUUGGGUGUAACGAUUUCAUGUCAGGAUUGUGCACAGCACCAGAGAACACGCUUUACUGGGCUUUAUCAUAUGGGGGGGAAAAUGCAGCAGGCAGCAAUUUGGACAUUGCAGCAGUCGAUAUGGUAAUGUCAGCUGGCUCUUGAUUAAUUUUGUAGCUUUAAUACACACUGACAAAUGUGAGAGCACACAUACAAGCCACUGAAAGCCAAACAAAAGCUUCAGGUUUAAAGUCUUUGCAGGGUUUAUCCUUCCAAAAAGAGGCUGCCAUAGCAACGACACACAUAAACACACUCCUUUUCUCAGAAGAAAAAGGGAAAGAAAACAGCCGGUCUCCCUUUGAACCAAAUGAAUGAGUCAGCUACAAAUGCAUGGAGAAGAGAAACGAAUUAAUACACGAACGAGGAAUAAAGGCACGAAAAGGAGUCGCGCAAAAGUAUGCCGUCCAAAAGUCAACACCAAGAGCGGCGGCCCACUGGUGAUCCCGAACACAUGGGCGGUUGCGUGGGGAGAACAAGAGGCAUGUUGCUUUUGUGAACAGCUCGUUAUCAAUUAACAAGCCCUGCUCAAUAAAAAAAAUAAUAAAUAGCAUCCGUUGUGGAGCCGUUUUAUUCAAUUAGCUUGGUUUUGUGCUCGGUAACGCAGAUGCGGUUACAACACCAAGUACAUGUCACACACUUUUAGGCAAAAUAUUAGACCACGGUUGCACGGCUAUGAAAGACAUAUUAGUUGUUGGGUAAUUAAGUGCAUCUCUCUGCCUUCAAAGCAGUGGCUGGCACACAUCCAACCCCCGUUUCCUUAUUCUGCUUCACAUAACAGAAGUGACAGGAACCAUUUCUCACUAAUUCACACUGACUUGAACUGAACAAAACAUUUCAUUCCACCAGCGUUCAUCAGAUGAGUCCCCAGCUCUCCAGUCAACAUGUCAGCUGCCAUAAUGCCAAAGAAUUGGGUCCCUCAACUGACAUUAGCGGCCACCGCUGCCGUCUCGGCCGUCAGAGGACACUGUCAGCAAUUCAUCUGCAGUUAAAAACUAUAAAUAGUGAGGGAUAAAAUUAGCAAACAGACAGGGCUGUUUUAAAGUGAGCUUGCAAUGACUAUUCCAAGCCACCCUGUCACAGCGCACGCCUGCAUCUUUUGACUGCUUAGCGACCCGCGCUAGGAGCCAUCCAUCUAGCCGACAACGCGCUCUAAAUGCUCGGGCCCCCGUCUGCCUCCGGCUUCGCUGCUCCUUGCCCAGGAUGGAUGGCGCUGAGCGAUGUCCGCGGGGGGG